rnacentral:tRNA from 1 species
GCAUUAGUAGUUCAGUGGUAGAAUUUUCGCCUUGCGUGCAGGAGAUCUGGGUUCAGUUCCUGGCCAAUGCA